rnacentral:lncRNA from 1 species
GUGAGUUGUCAUUUGGGUGGUUACUUAAAUGGGAGAGGGGUUGGCUACUCCUUUGUGAUUUUCUUUUCUUUGUUCUUUCUCUCUUUUCUUUUGCUCAAAAUUUUGUUUUUUCCCAAAAGUGGCUGCCCUCAUUCCCACGUAUUUUUCUUUCUUUCUUUCUUUAUUCUGGAUAAGUUGGUGAGUUGUCAUUUGGGUGGUUACUUACGUGGGGGGUUGGCUACUCGUUUGUGAUUUUUUUGUUUCUUCUUUCUCUCUUUUCUUUUGCUUAAAACCAAAUUCAAGUGUUAUCACUUGUUUCAAUCAUUAUUGAUGUCUCGCUCAUAAUCUAUUUUGUUGCCAAUUUCUAGUUUGUGGUUUGAUUUGGUAAGUAAUUGGAGUAAGUCUACUAUAUUUUUUGGUUGGUGAAUAAUUUGGGGGCUUUCUUUAUUCUUGUAAUGAAAAUAUUUUUUAUGGCGUUAUUCGUCUUAAUGCUCAAAUAGGGGAAAAUCAAGAGGCUCGAGAUUAUCCUUCAACGACUUAAUUGUGUUAGGAACUGCUAUGGACGUUGGGUAAGUAUUCAAACGUUGAUGAGUUUAAUUCUAGUGUCGGAAUUGUGUAAUUGUAGGUUGUGGUCGAGUAAGUUAUUUGGCUUCUAUUGAUACAAACUCUACUAUCCGCAAGAAUAAUGGAAACGUCAAAUGAGCAAUAAAUCUGAAAACAUAUGAUAAGUCUGUGGUUCGUAUAUGUUAUGUUGUGCAUGUAAAGCUAUAUCAUGUUUAAUUUCUGCUCUAAAUAUGUAUGAUAUUUUUUGCACUCUUUAUCUGCAUCUGGGUUGGGUUGUAAAUAACAUGUGGAGAAAGUGAUUCUGUAAAAGGCGAUAUUGUCUAUUGAUUUGGUAGCUCAGCAACAACUAUUCUAUUGAUUUGGUAGAUCUUUCUUAUAUGUAUUUUACUGUGUUAAGUUUAUCAUUAUACACUGAGUUUCAAAACUCACUUUCUAUUUUAUUAAUAUUUUCAUGUAAUCCUUAAACUUAGGCACGAGAGCUCGAUUAUAUUAGUAUUUCAAUUCUUUAACCAUUUUAAAUUGGAUUCAGUAUUUUGUAAAAUUAGGACAGUUUGGACAAUUUGGCUCGGUUUUGGAUUUAAUUUUGGAUUUUUGUAUGAUAAUUGAUAAAACGAUUUACCAAAAAUGAAUAGUUUCUUGCAACCAACUAUUUUCGAGAAAACAAACUUGGUUUUUCAAAAUAUAAUGAUCUAAGAAUUUUCGCUGCAAAGUAUUCGAUUUAUUUAGAAAAGGUAAACAAAAAAUGUUUUUAAUUAAAUAAUUAUGUCAAACACGUGUUUUGUUCACGAUGUUUUUCAAAUAAAUGAAAGCCAGAUUUACAACUAUUAUACAUAUCAUCUCUAGAUCUAGCCAUAAUGUCCAGGCUGAGUUUGAGGUGUUACAUAGUUAUAAGUAUUUUAUAAAAAAAUAGUAAACAAAAAUAUAUUAUUAAUUAAAUUUAAUUAAUUAAAUAGAUAAAAACAUGUGAAAUAAAAAAAAACUAGUUUAUUUAUAAUUUAUAUAAAAGAAAAGAGUGGAUAAACUUUUAAACUAACAUAAAUACACCAUAUUUAUUGUUUAUUAUAGGCUUUAGGGUGUAAAAAACUCUCAAAUUUUUUUUUUAAAAAAGAGUAAUUAAGUCCCUAUUUUUUUUUGCACUCAAUUGGGUACUUGAACUUUCAAAAUGUAUAAAAAAACUCUCAAAUUUUUUUUUAAAAAAAUUAAGCUCCUGCUUUUGUUUUGUAGUCAAUUGGGUAUAUGAACUUUCAAAAUAUAUAAAAAUACCCUCAAAUUUUUUUCAAAAAAAAAUAUCAACCCCCUAUCUGUUUUUUUUUUUGCUCUUAAUUGAGUACUUGAAUUUUCAAAAUGCAUCAAGAAGGUCAUUUGAUCGUUAACUUUAACAGUUGACCAUUAAAGUUAACCACUCUUAAUUUUUUCCAGUUAAAGCCACCAUGUGUCACAACAACCGAAUGACAUGUGGCAAAAAACGAUAAAAAAUAAAAACCAAUAGAAAUUAUAAAAAUUAUUAAUUUUAAUAAAAACAAUAAAAAUGUUUAAAAUUUAUUAAAAAUUUAAAAGAUUAUAAAAAUCAUAAAAAAAUUAUAAAAAAAAUGUAAAAUUUUAUAAAAAUAGUAAGAAAUGUAAAAUAUAUAGAAAAUAGAAAAAAAAUUAUAAAAUUUUAUAAAGUCAUAAGAAAAUUAUAAACAAUGUAAAGAAAUAUAAAAUUUGUAAAAAUAUAAAAAUUAUCGUAGCAAAAGAAGCAUUUUAUAAUUUUUCUACAACUUUUAUUGAAUUUUAUUUUUAUCAUUUUUUGCCACAUGUCACGCUGUGUUGCGAUAUGUGAUGGCUUUAAUUGAAAAAAAUCGAGUAUCGUUAACUUUAACGAUCAUCGGUUAAACUUAAUGGUUAAAGGGCAUUUUUGAUGUAUUUUAUAAAUUUUUUUAUGAUUUUUAUAAAAAUUUACAAUUCUUUUAUAUUUUUAUUAAAAUUUGAUAAAUUUUAUCUUUUAUUGGUUUUUAUUUUUAUCAUUUUUUUGCCACAUGUAAUGUUGUGGCUGUGACACGAGGUGGCUUUUACUGAAAAAAUUAGGGACAGUUACCUUUAACGAUAAAUCUUGAGAUUAAUUGAUUGUUCAAGUAUUCAAUUGAGUGAAGAAAAGAGCAAAUGAUUAAUUGCUUAUUUUGAAAAAAUUUAAGGGCCUUUUUGAUGUACCUUGAAAGUUUAAAUACAAAAUUGAGUGAAAAAAAAACUUAAUUAUUUAUAUGUUUGAGGACUUUUUAUCUUUUGAUUAUAUUACUACAUAACCAUUUAAUUAAUUAUUAUUAGUAAAACAACAUUUAAUUAGAUCUAUAUAUUCUAAAAUUAACUCAAAUUUAUAUUCUAAAAUAUUUAUAUCCAAACUCAAAUUACCCCAAACACAAAUAGUAUACACAUUAUUACCCGAAAUAAAACCACUAACAGAGUUCAACAUGGUUAUUUCAAUGCACAAUAAGGAACGGGGAUUAAGAACAAAUCAUCUUUUCUUCUUGCAGUUAAGCCAAAUGAUUCAGUCAUUUCCAGAUCUUCAAACUUCAUCCCAUUUGGGAGCUUCCAAUCAAAAUGGUACAGCAAACUCGCAAGUGGUAACUCAAUACCGUGUAUCCCGAACAAAAUACCAGGACAAAUUCUUCUUCCAGCACCAAAUGGGAUAUACUCAAAGUUUUUUCCUCUAAAAUCCAUGGAGUUUUCCGAGAAUCUUUCAGGGUAAAACUCCUCAGCAUCUUUCCAGUAAAAGGGAUCUCUUUGUAUAGCCCAUGCAUUUACAAGGACUUUAGCUUUGGCAGCGAUCUCAUAUCCAUUUAUCACACAAUUUUCACGAGAUUGCCUUAGAAUUAAAAGCGCAGGAGGGUGCAACCUCAAAGUUUCUUUCACUAUUAAUCUUAAGAAUUUCAGCUCCUGAAUCUUUUCUUCGUUUAAUGAGGUAAUGUUUUCCCCGAAGACUCUUCUUACUUCAUUUUGUGCCUUUUUCAUCAGUUUUGGAUUUUUCAAUAGUUCAGACAUCGCCCAUUCUACUGUUGUGGCUGAUGUCUCGCUCCCAGCAGCAAAUAUGUCCUGAAAAGAUAUAUUUAACACAAAUAUUAUCAGGGGCAUGUCAAAUAGUUUAACAAUACAAUACACCAGUGGCAAAGUUAAAAUUAACAGUAACCUUCAUGACAGCUUUUAUGCUGUUAUUUCCCAAAGGGAAUUCAAGGUCAUCUUGCUGUUGAAGCUGAAGGAGAACAUCAAUCAAAUCAGCUUCAACCCCUUGAUGAUCUGCCUUGUUUCUCUUCUCUUUAUGUUCAUUAACAAUGUUUUCAAGGAUCUUAUCCGAAGCCUGGUGUAGUUUCUCCGCUUUAAUCCUGGUUCCACUAAUCAGUUUCAGCACUCCACUAGAAGGAUACAUAUCAGCUAAACAGAUAGCACCUGAGAGCUUAUUAGUUUCUUUGACGAUCCUUAUAAAUUCCUCUUGGCUUUUUGUUUUCUUCCCAAAGGUAGCCCUCGCUGUUAUCCCAUAUGACAGUGAAAAAAUUUUCUCACUAAGAUUGAUCGCAGACCCUUCACUCAAAGCUAUGGAUUUGAUGAAAUCUGUCACCUCUUCUGUUCUGAUUGACUGGAAUGAUUGGACUCGGGUCGGGCUCAAAAGUUCCAUGGUGCAGAUUUUUCUCAUUUGUUUCCAAUAGUUACCAUACGGUGUAAAUACGAUUGCUUUACAGUUGUAUGACAUAACCUCACAAGCUAGAACAUGAGGCCUUUGAGAAAAGAUGGUAUCAUGAGUUUUAAAAACCUGUUCGGCAACUCUUGCAGAUGAGAUUACAACGGUGGGAACUUCUCCGAGCUGAAGCUGCAUCAAAGCUCCGUAUUUGUUGGAUAAAUCUCUUAGGGUGUGAUGGGGAAAAGAAGUAAAGAGUUGAUGCAAGUUACCUAUGAGAGGUAAUUUCCAUGGACCUGGGGGAAGCUUAUUGAGGUUGGGUUUCUUGGCUUUUGAUGAUAUUUUCAGGAUUCUUACAAUGGUGAAGAAGAAAAUUAGGAAAGUAAUGAGGGGAACACAUGGAAAUUGAAACUCCAUGGAGAAGAAAAGAUGUGAGUUUUGGGGUACUAAAUUCCAAUUUAAUUACAAAUAAAAGGGGAGAUUAUCAAGACUUUAAAUAGAAAUUUGUUUUUUAUUUAAAAAAUAAGUAAAUUAAUCUCAAUAUAAAUUAAUUUUUCUUUAUUAAAAAUUUCAUUCAAACUAGCAAAAAUUAAGAGAAUAAUCAAAUAGUGAUGUACAUCAUACCAUGUGUAUUUUAUAUUGACAUAUAAGAAUCAAUUUUUAACAAUAAUAAUGAAUGAGAAUAACUAGACUAAUAAAAAUUAAUUUGCUCAUUUUCUACUUAAAAAAAAGCAAUUUAAAUUCUAAUACAAAAAUUUUCAUAGUAUUUUUCCUCCAAUAAUACCACUUGGUCGGCAAAUUAUGCCAUAAAAGAGAUUUUAGAUUUUGAAGUUGAUAAGAGUGUAUUAUCAUCCACAAGAACAAUUUACAGCUUUCACUUUCCAAAGCCAUAGUUGAGUCGAGUGAAAGGAUAUGACCUUAUCUUGGCCUUCUGGGUUUGAAUUAUUAAAAUAUCUAAUUCGGUGCGCUGGGCGCCUAAGAAGUUGUGUUUGACUCUCCUUUUUCUUUUCAAAGGAGAAUUUUGAUAUAAUGGAUAAGCCCAACAAAAAAACAUACAAAUAAAGCAACGCUUGACCAAGAGAUUAUUUAGCAGUGUUUAAAAUAAAAAUUUAGCUCUAAAAAUUUUUUUGAAAGAAAAAUUAUAUUAAAUAAGUUGUUUGGGCUGAAAUUUUUUGUUUUUUUGAAACCACUUUUGAAAAACAGUUCUGAACAUGAGACGUUAAAAUUUUUAGCUUUUUCUCUCUCAAAAAUAAUUUUGUUGUUUAAUUACUUUUUUAUCUCUCCAAUUACAUAAUACUUUCUUUUCUUUUUCUUAGUGCUUAAAUACAAAUGUAUUAAAAUCAUUAAUUAAAAAUAAAAAAAAUAUUUUUUAAAAUAAUACAAAUGUGUUAAUAUCUAAUUAUAAAUAUUUAAUGGUUAUAUUCAAAUAUUUAAAAUAUAAUUUAUAUGUUCUAAUUAAAUUUUGUAAAUAAUUAAUAUUUAUUGCUUAAAAAUAUUUAAAAUUUAUAUUUCAUAUAUUAAAAUAUUAACAACAAAUUAUAAUAAUUUUUUUAUAGUCUUACUAAAAUAUAAUAAUAUUAACUAAUUUAAACAUUAUUUUAAUGUAUAUUUGUUACUUGAUAAUAACAUGUUUAAAAUAGAUAUUUUUUUUCUCAAAAGUACUUUUUUAUAGUAAUGCUAAACACUUAAAUUUUAAAUUAAACUUUUCAAAAGUACUUAUCAAAAAUACUUUUUGACAGCAAUACUGAACAUUUAAAUUUUAAAUUAAACCUUUUAAAAAUACUUCUCAAAAAUAUUUUUUCACAAACACAUUUAAAAAAUAUUACUAAACUAGCCCUAAGAGUCAAACCAUACUAACGAAGGAACAAGCUAUACUUGAAUUAAGCUCCCACCGCUGAAUACAGAGGAACAAAGUAAGACCCUUGCGAAAACACGGACAGACAGAACAACACUGAAAAUUGCGCAGCUAGUCAUCAAAGUCGAGCAAGCCACCUUGAACCAUAAAGUCCCUUUUCAGGCCCUCGCUCUGGUAAAAUGGAAAUGCAACUAUUAACUUGAAGUAACAGAUGUGUAAAUGGUCAAAAUAGAUAAACCAAAAACAAGUCAAAGAAGACUUGAGGAAAUGAGCUGCUAGCAACUCAAGAAAAGACUUGUUAAUACACAAGUCAUCCUUGACUCGAGAAAACCUCCAUUGUAGGAGAAGCCAAGGGCCACACCCUAGGCCAUCUUAUUAUUCCGAGAAAAGUAAGGCCUCCUAAUGCUGAAAAAAUGCUAGGGCUGGCAAGGAUGAGCAAGAGGGUUUGAGGACGAGUGAGAUGGAAAGGAAAGGAGAAAGGGAAAGGAAGUUAGAAAAGAGAAGGGAAGGGAGAUACUAGGGAACCACAUAAUUUUAGAUUUUUAAAUUUUUUUUCUAAUUUAUAUAUAAUUAAAUGAAUUUUUUUAUGUAAGAGACUCCUCUACUUUCAUUAGUGGUCAAUGGUUCAAUUCUCGUAAUAAGUAUGGAACAGUUUUAAAAUUCGUGGUUAGUAUCUAUCCCUUAAUUUACCUACAGAACACAAAAGAUUAAUUAUUGGACUUAAUCCAGUGGACACUUGGGAAAUAAAAAAAGAUGGAGAGUUUUUUUUAAUAUACUUUUUUAUGUAAUUCAAUUAUAUAUAUAAAUAUUUAUUCAUUUUAAUUGUUAAUCUUGAAAAAAAUAUUUAGUAACUCCGGUUGUUUUAAUAAAAUUUUAUUGACAAAAAUAUUAUUUUUAUUUUAAUUAUUUAUUUAUUGCAUUAUAUGAAAAAUUUUAAUUCUAUAGUUGCAUGUAAAGGUGUUCAUGGGCCGGGCCGGGCUCAACUAAAAAUUCAGAUCUAUUUGUUAGGUCGAACUUAAAAAACGGGCAUAAAAUUUUGCCAAAGCCCGACCUAGAUAAAAAUGCUAAAACUCAGGCUCGGCCCGACCCGUCCGUAUUAAUUUUUUAUAUUAUCUAUAUAUAUAUUAAAUAUAUAUAAUAUAUCAAAAAUACUAAAAACAUCAAAAUAAAUAUUUCUCAACAAAUUGAAAAUAAAAUUUAAAAACUAUGUAUACUUAAAUAACACUAGCAUAUAUGCAACUUAACAAACAAAUACCUUUAAAAUAAUAACAAAAUUAACAAAUGCCUUUAAAAUAAUAACAAAAUUAACAAUAAAAUAAGUUUUAUAUAAUAUCCAAACAAUAAUAACAAAAUAGUAGUAAAAUAAUAAUGAAAUGGUAGCAAAAUAGGGAGAAAAUAAUAAAAAAAUAACAUUAAAAAAAGAGAGCAUAUUUUAUUUGUCAUUUACUUUAGUGCUUGAGAUCUGGCCUAUUUUUUAAACAAACCUUUUUUUUAGUGCUUGAGAUCUGGCCUAUUUUUUAAACAAAUUUUUUUUUUCAAGCCCAUUUUUAAGCCUAUAUUUUUAUUCAAACCCUCUCACAUUUUAAGCGAACCUUCAGGGUGGGCCGGGUGACCCGACCCAUGAACAGGUCUACUGCAAAAUAUGGUAAUGAAGAUAUUACAGGCUUUACAAAGAGAUCGUCCGUGAUAUACAUGUAUCUAUUCUAACUACUGAGCGCAUGAUGGGCGGUACGGAAAGGGAAUCAGGUACAAAUCACUUUUUCUUCUAACAGAAGCACCAAAAGCCUCAGUCAUGUCCAGAUCCUCAUUUUUCAUUCCAUUAGGGAGUUUCCAAUCAAAAUGGUACAGUAAUUGUGCAAGGGAAAGCUCGACAACAG